rnacentral:tmRNA from 1 species
GGGGUAGUAAAGGUUUCGACGGGGGUUUUGAAGUUGGAGAAGCUAUUCGCAGGAUGCUGCGUCAAAACUCAAAAUUAAAAUUAAACGCUGAAGAUAGAAAUUUAGCAUACGCUGCCUAAGCGGCGUUGUCUGCCUUGAAGCACCUACACUUUAAGGGUCAGGCAUCGACCAUGUAGGAAACGACAUAUAUUAAGCUUUGCGUAUAUGGGCGUAUUAUGAAGCUACUAAAACCGGAAGGAUGUCCGUUUCCGUCCGGCAGAGGGAAUGAAAAAGAACUGACUAUAAUAGUAGAAGUACAAUGGAAGGGCUUUCGGACACGGGUUCGAUUCCCGUCUACUCCACUU